AACGAACGCUGGCGGCGCGCCUAAUACAUGCAAGUCGAGCGAGAAGGUGUAGCAAUACACUUGUAAAGCGGCGAACGGGUGAGGAAUACAUGGGUGACCUACCAUUGAGUGGGGAAUAACCAGCCGAAAGGCUGGCUAAUACCGCGUACGCUUCCGGAUUUUCGAGUUCGGAAGGAAAGCGAUACCGUGGGUAUCGCGCUCUUUGAUGGGCUCAUGUCCUAUCAGCUUGNGGUAGGGUAACGGCCUACCAAGGCUUUGACGGGUAGCUGGUCUGAGAGGACGAUCAGCCACACUGGCACUGCGACACGGGCCAGACUCCUACGGGAGGCAGCAGUAAGGAAUAUUGCGCAAUGGGCGAAAGCCUGACGCAGCGACGCCGCGUGGGGGAUGAAGGUCUUCGGAUUGUAAACCCCUUUCGGGAGGGAAGA
rnacentral:rRNA from 1 species